rnacentral:rRNA from 1 species
GACGAACGCUGGUGGCGUGCCUAACACAUGCAAGUCGAGCGAGGAGAGUUCCUUCGGGAACAAACCUAGCGGCGGACGGGUGAGUAACACGUGGGCAACCUGCCCUGUAGAGGGGAAUAGCCUUCCGAAAGGAAGAUUAAUACCGCAUAACAUUACAGUUUCGCAUGAAACAGUAAUUAAAGGAGCAAUCCGCUACAAGAUGGGCCCGCGGCGCAUUAGCUAGUUGGUGAGGUAACGGCUCACCAAGGCGACGAUGCGUAGCCGACCUGAGAGGGUGAUCGGCCACAUUGGGACUGAGACACGGCCCAGACUCCUACGGGAGGCAGCAGUGGGGAAUAUUGCACAAUGGGGGAAACCCUGAUGCAGCAACGCCGCGUGAGUGAUGAAGGUUUUCGGAUCGUAAAGCUCUGUCUUCGGGGACGAUGAUGACGGUACCCGAGGAGGAAGCCACGGCUAACUACGUG